ACGAACGCUGGCGGCGUGCUUAACACCUGCAAGUCGAACGGAAAGGCCCUGCUUUUGUGGGGUGCUCGAGUGGCGAACGGGUGAGUAACACGUGAGUAACCUGCCCUUGACUUUGGGAUAACUUCAGGAAACUGGGGCUAAUACCGGAUAGGAGCUCCUGCUGCAUGGUGGGGGUUGGAAAGUUUCGGCGGUUGGGGAUGGACUCGCGGCUUAUCAGCUUGUUGGUGGGGUAGUGGCUUACCAAGGCUUUGACGGGUAGCCGGCCUGAGAGGGCGACCGGCGACAUUGGGACUGAGAUACGGCCCAGACUCCUACGGGAGGCAGAAGUGGGGAAUAUUGCACAGUGGGCGGAAGCCUGAUGCAGCAACGCCGCGUGCGGGAUGACGGCCUUCGGGUUGUAAACAGCUUUCGCCUGUGACGAAGCGUGAGUGACGGUAAUGGGUAAAGAAGCACCGGCUAACUACGUG
rnacentral:rRNA from 1 species